rnacentral:rRNA from 1 species
UACGGGGGGGGCAAGCGUUGUUCGGAAUUACUGGGCGUAAAGGGCUCGUAGGCGGCCAACUAAGUCAGACGUGAAAUCCCUCGGCUUAACCGGGGAACUGCGUCUGAUACUGGAUGGCUAGAGGUUGGGAGAGGGAUGCGGAAUUCCAGGUGUAGCGGUGAAAUGCGUAGAGAUGUGGAGGAACACCGAUGGCGAAGGCAGCCCCCUGGGCUAACACUGACGCUCAUGCACGAAAGCGUGGGGAGCAAACAGG